AACGCACAUUGCGCCCGCCAGUAUUCUGGCGGGCAUGCCUGUUCGAGCGUCGUUUCAACCAUCAAGCCCCCCGGGCUUGUGUUGGGGACCUGCGGCUGCCCGCAGGCCCUGAAAACCAGUGGCGGGCUCGCUAGUCACACCGAGCGUAGUAGCAUACAUCUCGCUCAGGGCGUGCUGCGGGUUCCGGCCGUUAAACAGCCUCUGCGCUACACCCAAGGUUGACCUCGGAUCAGGUAGGAAGACCCGCUGAACUUAA
rnacentral:misc_RNA from 1 species